rnacentral:lncRNA from 1 species
AACUGCACGCCAACACUAAAGAACCUGAAAAUCGAAAUUGAACAACAAAAUUGUGACUGAAAAUGGAGAGUGAGGAAGUACAAAUUUUUUAAUCGACAGGAAAUGUGCAGAGGAAGGGACACUAAAGUCAGAUUUUUUUUUGAGAAAAGUGAGAAAGAAGAAGAAGAAAAAUAAAAAAAGAAUUAAAAAUAAAAUAAAAUAAAUCCCUAUCCUACUAAAUCUCAACCCCCUAUUAUCCUACUAACUAACCC